CACAGUUCACUAGUGGGCCUGAUGGUCACAUC
rnacentral:piRNA from 1 species